UCCUCCAUGUCCCAAACAAGGCUGCAGCACCUGAUACAGCCUGGUAUUUUUAACAACAUACAGCUAGUAACUUACGAAGUUUACAGAUUCCACCAUGAAAUACUUGAGUUCAGAAGAAAUUGCAAGUUGUACAGCCAUCAGUGUCAAGCAUCGUUAAAGGCGGGGAUGAUCCACCCACACCAGCGGCCCCACUGCAAGAGGAGGGACUGGGAGCGCUGCUGCUGAGGUUGGCAAGUCUGAGUCCUGCAGAGAAAGAGAAUGUGGAAAUCCCGCUGAGACUGCCCUGCCUCCAGCUAUACAAAUUGAGACAGUGAUUCACCUGCUCGCUUCCAGCACGGUGGUCCCUAGAGGAGGAGAUACAUCUCUAGGACCUGAGCCAUAAAGAAGAGGGAUUUAUAGAUCAGUAUCAGCAGACAUGAGUAAUACCUGGAAGCAAAACUCUCUGCGCUGUGAUUCUACUGCAUGCACAGGCUGUGAGCAGAGCUAAAGCAUUGUUUUGCUUUGAUUAGAGUGGAGGAUAGGAGUGGGGACUCUGAGCUGCAUUCAUCUCCGGGCCACUGACUUGCUAGGGAUUUUGGAUAAGUCAUUUAAUCUCCAUCUUAGUUUCCUCAUCUGUAAAGCCUGGGGAAUAAAAUUUUUGCUUUUUGGCUGGAGCUCAGGCUGAAAGGAAAUGUAACUAAAAGAAUACUGUUCCAUGCUCAGACUUUAACAGAUUUGCUUGUGCCCUGAAGUUGUGCGAGUGGAUGGAAGGGAGGGCUCUGGGAUGCUAACGGCACUGCCCCUGCUGCUGCUGUGCUGUGCCUCUGCCACUGCUGUGGUUCUUGUCCUUUGUCUAUGCCUCACCUUGAGCAUCCCCAGGGACAGCUGCAGUCCUUGCUGUGUCCCCGCUUAUGUAAGGAGGCAAUGCUGUGCUUGCAGGCGUGCCCAAGCUCUGUGUUGUGGCACUCGCAGAGCUAUACAGCCAAACCAUGCCGUUACAGCUCUUCAUGGGGCAUAUGGCAUUUCAACUAGCAGUGAUGUUUUUAUUUCCAAUUUAUUUAAAUUAAUUAUUGACAUUAGCUUUUCUUAAGUGUACAUACACUAUACUGUACUGCUGAAUUACAGUUUGUGCUAGGACCAGGAAAGUGACCUAACUGGUUACAGAACAUAAGGCCCUAUGCAGUGAAUGUG